GAGGAUAUGUGCAGCCCCAGAGGAGGGUUGCUGAUGGUUGGAGUUGCUGGCAAUUAGUGCUUUUGGUUGAUGGUCUCCCCUGUGUGGAGUUAUCUCAGGCGUAGACCUGUGUAAUAUACUAUUUGCAACUCGUUUCUUUAAACUUGGUAGUGGUUAUGUGCGUGUUAUGGGUGUUCUUGGGUUUUUGCCCUACGAUAGACUGCUCGAUGACGAGUGUCUAUGUAUAGGUUUCCCAGGAAUGCUCUGAACUCGCACCCCUUUUUCUGGUUUCCUUUUUGGACGAAGAACACUUGUAUUUCCGUUAUGUGAGUAAUGGAAAAG
rnacentral:lncRNA from 1 species